rnacentral:tRNA from 49 species
GGCGGAUGUAGCCAAGUG